CAUCGAGAAAAGAUAAUUGGCCGUUAGGCAAGAAACUCACCUCAAGUAAAGUUUUCAAUAGGGGUGAAAUAUAAUCACUUUGAUAGGCGGGAUGUGUAAGAGCUGCAAAGUUUUAAGCUGACCCGUACUAAUCCUAAAUGGUAU
rnacentral:rRNA from 1 species